rnacentral:tRNA from 1 species
GGUACGACAGCGUAGUUGGUUAAUGCGUUGGCUUACAUUGCUGAAGUCGCUGGUUCGAAUCCAGCCGGUACCC